UGGUGGUGUUCCAGUGUCAAGGGGUUUUCUGUGACAAAUUACUGAUGGGAUGAGGCUAAGUAUUAUCUCAGAAGAUCAGUAGGGCAAGAAGAACCCUCAUUUAACUCAUUUAUAUUAUACUGAAGUCAUGAUAGAUGCUGUCAUAGGAAAGGGAGCCUUCUGGAACACGUUUAAAUUAAAGAUUUUGUUACUUCAGUUACUAACAAGGCAUAAUACAAACAAAAUAAUGGUUCUAAUAUAAGUCUGAAAUACAAUAAUGGGUUUGGAGAAUGUGAAACUAGUUGUGUGUCACAGAAAGCUAUGAGAUCUCUUAGUUUCUGUAUCUGUCUGUAUUUCAGGUUCUGCAUUAGCGCCACUCUGAGUUGUCAGUGCUUUCAUGAGCUCAUGAGAUAUUUAAAAGACAGUCCAAUCACAGGAUACCAAAGUAUUCAGCAGCAAAUACAGCUGAGUACAAUAUACUUUCAGGCAAGUCACAGAAUUUAAUACUUGAUGCCAAGGUAUAUCAAUAAGUUGCAUAACACAGUGUUUUAAACCAUCUAACUACCAAUGUUUAGCCACCUAACUGCACAGUUUAUCAUUUUAAAGUUAACCAUAGCAUUGCAUAUGGAUCUGGUAUCAUUAUCUUAACACAAAAUUGCCCAGUAUCACUUAAGUUACAGUAAUUUCCAAUUCAGCAUUUCAGGAGGCUAGGUAAAUCACUAAUUCCAAAGGAAGAGGCUUCACAAAUAGUUUUGGUAGGUACUUCUCUAUUUCCGUGAGAGGCUUCCCAAAGCUGUGCAAGAGAAUGAUCUUUUGUGCUUUGUAUGUUGGAUCUGUGUGCUGCCUGGAGCUCCAAGAUGCAUCCAGCUGCAGCUGCUUCACAGGGAAAAUGGAUUGAGUGUCAGAGACUUUUUUUUAGGCUGCUUGUAAUUGUCUGGAACCCAGAGCCUUAUUAUUUUGCUGUGCAGUCCCCUUACGGCAACUCAGAUAUCUGUAAUUGUAGUGGGGUUUGUGGGGGAAAGGGGUGGGGAAACAAAAAAGUAAAAUGAAGGUAAUCCCAUAGAAAAUGGGACUUGAAUGGUUUAAUUAAGCUAGCAGUUACAAAGACUACAUGUAACCUGACUGACAUCAGUGAUGUCUGCCUGUGAUGGACACACUGGUUUCUAACACUCUUAUGGAGUAAGAGUCCAAUUGUAUGUGCAGGUGUCAUUCUGAGGAGAAGCUGAAAAAGAGAAUUCUCUUAAAUUGCAGCUAAACAGUCCUGAAUUCUUGAGUUCCAUCACUGGGUUGGCUUUCUCCAUGAACAGCAUAGGUAGCUCUCAAAUCUCUCAUUACCAAUCACUAGAGCUGAUCAAAAGGUCUCAAAUGAAUUCUUAUAUUUAGUUUUAAAUCACCCCAUCCCCCACUGUGAUACUGGUAAGUAAAGGGGUUUGCUGCUUUUCCACAAUGAAACCAUGCUUUCAGAGACUUGCUAUGCAAACAGUGAGUUCAAGCCACAUUUUCUAGUCAUUUCACUGCAAAUCUCUGGAUAAAUGCGCUUUAAUGCUCCUUUUCUAUUGCUCCUUCCUCUCUUGCCUUGCAGAAGCUGUUUUCAGUCUUGCUAAAUGAAAACUUAAGUGUACUAACUCGGCAAGUAAAGAGUUAAUGUGCCCUGGGUUUCUUGCUAGUGAAUUACUGAGGCCCCCUGGUGCCUUAUUUAUUAGAUGAGCUGGGAGCAGCGUGAAACAUUGCAGUAACUAAGUUUUCCGUUUGUCCUUGCGUUUAGUUAUAGGGGUAAAAGCAGAAUAAAGGCGAAGGAGAAAACGCGCUUCCAGUACACAUUCGUGUCUGGAUCCCCUAUUUCUUUACUGCUGUCAUAGCCUUUCUUUCUCUUGCAGUUUGCCUCAUAACAGUAUGGUUCUACAGUAGCUCUCAAAUGAGAGGUGAAAGACCACAUACCAAGCUCCACAGCACACAGGAAGGAUUUAGUUUGUUUUCAGACUGUUGUUUAUAAUCUCUUUUUCUUGCUCAGUUGGACAGUGGUAUUAGUGUUUGCUCUCUGGACUCCCCUUUUCAUUUCUCUUUUCUGUUCCCUCCACCCUCCCUCCAACUUUUAGAGAGGAUAUUUUGCAUUACUUCAACUCUGGCUCACAUUUCUUUGGUUGCAGUUAGGUGCUCUGUAGUUCAUUGCUUCUGUUUAUGCAAGAAUCCACAUCAAAGACUUUAUCAUUCCCCGUUUAAAGGACUAUACAGAGAUCAAAAGUAUGACUUAAAAAGCCAAAUCCCCCUGGAAAAUAGCUUUCCCAAAAUGUCAGCAAAAGCUGUAAGAGUGAGCAUUCAGCAGUUCAGAAGGCUGUAUUUUGAUUAAUGCAGGUGUGGUUACAGCUCAUGUAACUGGACACCAUCUAGUGGCACAAGAUCAGAAAUAAUCUGAUUGCAAUCGUGUUGAUCUGUUCUCCGGGGUUUAUCCAAAAGCUUAUGGUGGGCAAUAUAUUGAGUCUUCUUGCUUAAGAUCUUUCUGUGAUCACAGACCAAAAACUUACUUGUAGUAGUGAUUCAUAAACUCAGGAAAUUAAAAGUCAGCUUCUUGUCAAAUCAUCUAUUACCAGUUUGCAAACAGCACCAGUGUAUUUAUAAUUUGAAGUUAUUUUCCAACCAGUAUGAUCAGUCAGUUUAGGAGUAGUCUGAUGUGUAGAAUUCAGUAAUGCAUUUGAAACUUGUUGAUUCCUAGACAUGCAUGGGUUUUUCUUUGGUUGCAAGUUGGUUGGUUGGGUUUUUUUUUCUGCUCUGAUUUAAAAGCAUGAAUUACUUGAGUGCAGUGCUGAAGAACAACUUUGCAAGUAAAGUACUGCUUAGUAUUCGCAACAUGGGUUUUCCCUAAUAUUUGCGUCAAACUUCACACAUUCAACUGGAGAAUGCAGUGUAAAAAAUGUGAAAGACAAUUCAGUGUUUGGUUUGGAUGUUGUUUCCACAAACAGACAUGUUAAGGCUUUUGUGUUUUGCCUUUUUUUUGUUGUUGUUUUUUGUAAAUAAGGUGUUACUUUUUUUCCUGAGUUCUGCUUGCUUUUGUGCUGCAAACAGGAUGUUGAGUAAUUUUGUGUUGGCAAGCACAGCAUGAUGGAUGAGUUGUGAAGGCUCUCAGCUGAUAGUACAGAUUCUUUUCUUAGCAGAAUAAAGCCAACUUGAAAAAUAA